rnacentral:rRNA from 1 species
UACAGAGGGUGCGAGCGUUGUUCGGAAUUACUGGGCGUAAAGGGCGCGUAGGCGGCCUGCUAAGUCGAUCGUGAAAUCCCCGGGCUUAACCCGGGAACUGCGACCGAUACUGGUUGGCUUGAAUUCGGGAGAGGGAUGCGGAAUUCCAGGUGUAGCGGUGAAAUGCGUAGAUAUCGAGAGGAACACCUGCGGCGAAGGCGGGUUGCUGGGCCGACACUGACGCUGAGGCGCGAAAGCCAGGGGAGCGAACGGG